ensembl:lncRNA
UCCACUCGCAGUUCAGAUUAUUUAAAUCAAUGUGCCUGAGGAGGAAAUUAGUGGACAUGGAGAUUACUUUUAUUUUUAUUGGACAAAAAGAACUGCUAGGACAGAAACGUCUACAUUAUGCUGCUAACAAAACAGUCUCUUUGCGAGCAGCUGCACAGACAGCAUGCUAACACUAAUGUUAGUCAAGAAGAAUGCUGCCACAGACAGAUCCAAAGAGACUAGAGACUUUCUGAAAGGACAAUGAAUAACUCCAAGCUUUUGUUAUGAGGAGUACAUUUCCAUAUCUCUGAUUAAUGUUGUUCUGGCAUAAGAAAAGAAAAUACAACACACUUGUCAAGCGUGUGUCGGUAGCAUCCAGUCACAGUGUGUGUUAGACAGAUUGUUCCAAACCACGGCUCUAAAUAUGCGGCUCAAUCCUCUGUUGUUGUUAGCAUCCAAGGCUAACACGCGGCAUCACAGCAGCCAAUGACAGACGUAGAGGAGGGGCAUACCACCAGAGAGCAUUGUGGGUACUCCAAAAGUAAUGAUUUAUUUCAUUUCAGAGCUCGCAGACGAGUAUACUUCAUUAUUCGGUGUAUUAACAUUAUUUCACAACUACGAUACGUGACACAGUAAACAUAAGCAGCACACACUGCUGUUAGCACCGUGACCGAGAUGGACAGGGUCGUCAUAGUAGUAGCUGGGUCGGCGCAUUUGUUCCUUAAGACUAUACUUUCAGGGAUCAUUUCUAUAGUUUUCAACUUGAGAAAUGUGUUUCUAAAGUGUGUGGUCUCGCUAACCACGAUGAUGAGUUGGUGAUACUUCUUCUUGAGCGCGAAGCGGGUGGAGAGACUUGAUUCAUUUCAUAUGCUCUUUACUUUUGAUGACCGUUCACUGUUUUCUCGAAAACAGCGAUGGGAGAAGUAUGAUCAGAGUGGUUACGAAGUACUGUAAAAGAUUAAUUU